AGGUCAUAUCUUCACCAGCUCUGUGGAGCAAGCAUGGUUUUCUAUUAUUUGUAAAACAAAAGUAUAGUGAUGCCUCAGUGGGGAGUGCCUUAUCCCACUCUCAGUGAUUUAACAGGGUCUGGACUUCUGUUUUUUAAAAGAUAUAUUUUAUCCUAAGCUUUUAGAAGUCAAGAUGGGGUUAGGGGAUAAAAGUCAGGGAGAGGAAUGGAGAGAGGAAGAACAGAGCCCAAGGAAGAAAGGUGACAGUCUGGACAACGCAAGAACCCCUGCGGUCUCCAGCAACCACACUCAUGUGACUUCUGCCUUCACCCUUCACAUGCAAGAGGAGGCAAGCUCAGUUGAGUUCUCACCUCCAAGAACUUGCAGUUCUCCUGGGGAGGCAGGACCGAUGCCCAUGGAACAAGGUGUGCCAGUGAGCCCCACAGAAAGGGGCAGUUUCCCGCACCAGGAUACACUUCAAAAAAGCACAAUUCAGAUUAUGCAUUCCCUGCUGAAGAUGCUCCACUGCGUCUUAUACCACUUGAGAAAAAAUUCCAGACUCCUCUCCAAUGUACUUCAGUCCCUGCCCAACUGGGCUCCAGUCAGGGUGGGGUUUUUUGUCGUUGUUGUUCUUCAAAUGCUGUCCACCACCCCAGAGGUUGUUUCUUUGCUGUUCGUGGGCCUGGAGUCCCCUUUCCCCAGGUCUUUACAUGGCUGCUCCAUCUCUCCAUAGAAGUUGCAGCUCAAGUGCCACCUUUUCAGAGAGCCCUUCCUGGACCGUUCAGUAUAAAUGAAGUUCUUUCCCCAAGUACUCCUGAUGGCAGCAACUUGUCACAGUGUCCUUCUUUGCCCUUACCAUGAGCUGGUAUUUUUCUUGUGUAUUGAUUCACUGAUUAAUUGCUUCCUUGAUUAUCCCUCAUGCUGCCCAUUAGAAUGUAGCUCCAUGGGAGCAGGGACCUUGUCUAUCUUGUCCUCCAUGGUAUCCUAGAAUUCUAAGAUGUAGGAUAGCUUAACAGAGGAGACUCUUGAAAUAUUUGUUAAAUAUGUGAUAAAAAAUAAAAGGAAGAAUC
ensembl:lncRNA novel transcript, antisense to MRPS22